CGGGAAGGCGGGGGACCCGGGACGUCCAAAUAUCCAGCUGUUUCCUAGAUGCUUAACCCCGGGCGGAUCUGCGGGCAGUCGCAAGCACCAGCACAGCUCCUCCUCACCCCGGUCCUUCCACUGGAGCUCGGCCAGCGAGAGACUACUGGCGUUAGAAGCAAUGGCAGCUGCGAACACAACUGUUACUUUUAUUUUUAUUAGUACACGUUUGCAGUACAUAAUGACCGUAUUUAUCAUGAGGAGUUGAUACAGGUGUUGGCUGCAGGUUCUCUCCUCUGCAGCUUGCUCCAGCCAUGCAUGUGGAGAGGGCAGUUUAUUACUACCCACAUCAUGAAGGCUCAUUUUAGGAAGAACAGCCCGUCAGUUAUCCAGUACACAUUCAAGAAGAUUGCGUCAUUCUAAGGCUUGGACAUCAGGAGAGCGCAUCACUAGAUCACCAGCGGGCUAUGUGACCUGUUGAAUGGGUUGCAGUUGUCAAAUCUGCUCCCACCAGUUCAUUUCUGUACAACUUGAGAGUGGUCAAAGAAGGAGAAUCAAUGGGCUUUUACUCAGCUGUUUUUUUUUUUUUUUAAACAAAGACAGUAAAUCAGAAGCCCUAAAGAGAAUUAUGUUCAUGGCAAGACUUUCUGAGAUCUGGUAAACCAUUCAUAUAAACAAAUUAUGCAGUUCCUUCUUCAGUUGACCUGGAUCCUGAGCAUGGGAUGACCCUACAGCUUUUUGUUCUCUCCAUCACUACAGAAGCUUCAGACUGCGUUCUGUAAGACCUUACGACAUGGAGGAAAGUUGAAGACAGAAAUGGUCCAUAUAUGUUUUCAAGCUGGGUCAUAUUGGCACCAUUUUGGCUACUCUCUAGGGAAGGAGAGCCAACAUAAAGGAAGAAAAAGGAUCAGAAAUUGGUGUGUUGUCCAUGAGAAGAAGAAAGAGUGAUUUGUCCUUCAUCCUGUCUGAUGAAGAUGUGUCUUUGUUGGAAUGGACAAACAGAAGCAAAUGGCUAAAGAGGUAGAAGGAGACAGCCAUAUGUGUUUCCACAGGAAGAAAUACACCUCGUGGAAGCUUUCAGGAAAAAAGACAUGAUGCAAGAAAUAUGAUGCAUCAAAAAGAAAAGAAAGAAUUGUGUAUAUUCUUCUUCUGCAAAAUGCAAACACACACACACACAUACACACACACACACACACUCACGCACACACCACAGCCCACCCAUAAUCCUUUUUUAGCCCCUCUAUCCUGUUGAUCUUUCUUCUCUUAAAAAUUAUCAGCAAAGAAGUAAUUCCUUUGGGAGGAUUCCAGGCACUGCAUUUGUCCGUGUGAAACGGGACCCAGAUUUUUCAAAGCAUGUUUCACAGAUAAAACGGAAGGCGGAGCUGCAUUACCUAGACAUCACCCCUUUUGCCCCUCUGGCCACCUUUGUUUCUAAGCAACUGAAAGAGUGCUGGGCACACUGCAGAAGUUCCCCCUGGUAGUGACUGAAGGAUGAUUUUAGCUAAAAAGGACAAUUUCAUCACUAACGAGACGGAGGAGUUCCACUGGAAAAGAGUUUUACUGGUGCAUUCUACUAAACGAUCUAAGUCCCUUCAUUGUUACAAAUGGGUAAUCAAAGAGAAUCUUGUUUUGUGCCAAAUAUCUCCAUUAAAUUGUAUUAGCAUAGCAAAUUCUUAUUAUGAUGGGUUUCUCUGUGUAAUCAGAAGUUGUCCGUAGUCCUGUUGAUUAGUACACUUACUCCAAAAAUUUUAAAGCACUAAAUUUCAGAGAAAGUCAAUAUUUGGCCAAGUUUUAGGAAGUUCAUUACACCUCAUUUAGAAGGGAUACUAUGUUCUACUCAAAAAAGGCCUAAUUCUCUCAAGGCAGUUGUUCCCAGACUAACAAACAAACAAAUGAAGCCCUGCAAAUAGGUCCCCUCUGCAGCCAUCAAAAAUCACUCCUGGAAGUGCUACAGUAGGGCUUUACCUGCAGAAACCCAGGGGUCUGUGAUGGCCUCUCCGAUUUGAAAAACUCAAUGGGCACAUGCAAAGGUAAAUUGCACCAGUAACUCCAGGACUAUCUGCUGUGAAAAGAAUAAAAAUGUUUAAGAAGCCAA